rnacentral:rRNA from 1 species
CGCGUAGGCGGCGGUACAAGUUAGGCGUGAAAGCCCCGGGCUCAACCUGGGAAUUGCGCUUGAUACUGUGCUGCUAGAGUUCGGGAGAGGUGAGUGGAAUUCCCAGUGUAGAGGUGAAAUUCGUAGAUAUUGGGAAGAACACCGGUGGCGAAGGCGGCUCACUGGACCGAUACUGACGCUGAGGCGCGAAAGCGUGGGGAGCAAACAGGAUUAGAUACCCUGGUAGUCCACGCCGUAAACGAUGUGUGCUAGACGCUGGGGAGCAUAGCUCUUCGGUGUCGCCGCUAACGCUUUAAGCACACCGCCUAGGGAGUACGGCCGCAAGGUUAAA